rnacentral:lncRNA from 10 species
GCCGAUGGGGUGCCAGGCAUUAGAAACCUUCCCUCCAAUCCUCACCAUGUCUCCAUUUUGCCAAAGAAGAAACUGAGGUUAAGGUCGCGAUGCUCUGGCCAGCAUCACAGGUUCCUGUGCGCCCAAACUUGUGCCGGGCACCAAGACGAGAAUAAGACAGCAGGGCAGAAGUUGUGGAGAAGCUGAAUUGUCUCUCUGCAAGGAAAAAUUUCCUGACACAAGUAUCUGUCCAGGCAAGAAGAUUCAACUGCAAGAGCUUUCAGCAGGCAAUGGUGUCCAACUAGAAUCGAAACACAUUGUUAUUGUUUUACUUAUUUUUAUAAUUACUUUUUAUUUUGGCAAGUAACGGGUGGUUUCGCAGUUACUGUAGUGCUAGAAGGCUUUUUUAAAAAAACAAUAAACAUACUUGAGUAAGAAA